GUUUCAUUUUAAUUUAAAUUAAAAUUUUAUUUUUUAGUUAAAAAGCUAAAAUUUUAUUAAAAGACGAGAAGACCCUAUAAAUCUUUAUAUUUAUUUUUAUUUUAAUUUAUAAAGAUAAAUUUUAUUAUAAUUUAAAUAAAUAUUUUAUUGGGGUGAUAUUAAAAUUUAAAUAACUUUUAAUUAUUAAAUUACAUUGAUUUUUGAAUUAUUGAUCCAUUAAUAAUGAUUAAAAAAUUAAGUUACUUUAGGGAUAACAGCGUAAUUUUUUUGGAGAGUUCUUAUUGAUAAAAAAGUUUGCGACCUCGAUGUUGGAUUAAGAGAUAGUUUUAAUGCAGAAGUUAAAAUAUAAAGUCUGUUCGACUUUUAAAUUCUUACAUGAUCUGAGUUCAAACCGGUGUGAGCCAGGUUGGUUUCUAUCUUUAAUUAUUGUAUAAUAUUUUAGUACGAAAGGAAUUUAUAUUAAAAAUUAUUUUUUAUAUUAAGAAU
rnacentral:rRNA from 1 species